UACGUAGGGCGCAAGCGUUGUCCGGAUUCACUGGGUGUAAAGGGUGUGUAGGCGGGAGAGUAAGUCCGCGGUGAAAUCUCACGGCUCAACCGUGAAACUGCCGUUGAUACUGCUUUUCUUGAGUUCGGGAGAGGUUGAUGGAAUUCCGCGUGUAGCAGUGAAAUGCGUAGAUAUGCGGAGGAACACCGAUGGCGAAGGCAGCCUCCUGGGAUAACACUGACGCUCAUGCACGAAAGCGUGGGGAGCAAACAGG
rnacentral:rRNA from 1 species